rnacentral:rRNA from 1 species
ACCCGAGACUCAGUGAAAUUGAACUCGCUGUGAAGAUGCAGUGUACCCGCGGCAAGACGGAAAGACCCCGUGAACCUUUACUAUAGCUUGACACUGAACAUUGAGCCUUGAUGUGUAGGAUAGGUGGGAGGCUUUGAAGCGUGGACGCCAGUCUGCGUGGAGCCGACCUUGAAAUACCACCCUUUAAUGUUUGAUGUUCUAACGUGGACCCGUUACCCGGGUUGCGGACAGUGUCUGGUGGGUAGUUUGACUGGGGCGGUCUCCUCCUAAAGAGUAACGGAGGAGCACGAAGGUUGGCUAAUCCUGGUCGGACAUCAGGAGGUUAGUGCAAUGGCAUAAGCCAGCUUGACUGCGAGCGUGACGGCGCGAGCAGGUGCGAAAGCAGGUCAUAGUGAUCCGGUGGUUCUGAAUGGAAGGGCCAUCGCUCAACGGAUAAAAGGUACUCCGGGGAUAACAGGCUGAUACCGCCCAAGAGUUCAUAUCGACGGCGGUGUUUGGCACCUCGAUGUCGGCUCAUCACAUCCUGGGGCUGAAGUAGGUCCCAAGGGUAUGGCUGUUCGCCAUUUAAAGUGGUACGCGAGCUGGGUUUAGAACGUCGUGAGACAGUUCGGUCCCUAUCUGCCGUGGGCGCUGGAGAACUGAGGGGGGCUGCUCCUAGUACGAGAGGACCGGAGUGGACGCAUCACUGGUGUUCGGGUUGUCAUGCCAAUGGCACUGCCCGGUAGCUAAAUGCGGAAGAGAUAAGUGCUGAAAGCAUCUAAGCACGAAACUUGCCCCGA